UACGGAGGGUGCAAGCGUUAGUCGGAAUUACUGGGCGUAAAGGGUGCGUAGGCUGGGAGAUAAGUCAGAUGUGAAAUUCCAAAGCUCAACUUUGGAGCUGCAUCUGAAACUGUCUUUCUAGAGGAAUGGCGGAGAAAACGGAAUUCCACGUGUAGCGGUGAAAUGCGUAGAUAUGUGGAAGAACAUCUGUGGCGAAAGCGGUUUUCUAGCUUAAUCCUGACGCUGAGGCACGAAAGCAAGGGGAGCAAACAGG
rnacentral:rRNA from 1 species